CGGCACUCCUAUUUUAGAUGCCUCAGUGAAGUGCCUGACGUCACAAGGAAGGGAGCUAGAACAUCAGUCUGCAUCUGUUGUCUUCUGCAGAGGGUUGUCAUCGGUCAUCUUGUCUGCAGAAGCAGUUCAUGCACAUGCUUAUGGUUGCCUGGUUUUGACCCAGCGAAUGCGCAAGGAGGAAAGCUUUCUGUUCCUGCUCACUACAUCUUGGUUUCAGGAAAGUGUCUUUUUACUAUACUGUGGUAUGUAGGUCUGGGAGACACAAGAACAUUUGUGAAUUUAUGUACAUAAUGUCACAAGUGAAGGCCGACAAAGGAAAAACUAAUACUGUUUCUCUUUUACUCUGAUUGAGUGUAACUACUCGCUAGUUUUAUGGCAAACCAGUUCAUUAGCAUUUAAAUCGAUUCUUAAAUAUUUUCCUUGAAAUUUGGAGCAAUAUAAGCCUUAAAUCCAGGACUGGUAAUGUUGUGAUUUUUAUGUCUAAUUUUAGAUUUAAUUUUUGGUCUGAUAAAUUGCGAUUAUAUAGCCAUGCAAUUUCAGAGCGCCGCUUUUAAAUGCACGAAUUUGUGCUUAGCCUUUAAUGAGUAAAAUAAUAAAAUAAAAAGGAAGAAGGCAUUACCUUAUGUCCAUAUGCAAAAUGACAGCAAACCCUGAAAUUCUUGGCAAUAAAACCCUCAUGCAUGCCAGUUACAGAGCUUACAAAUUAAAAGCCUAGACAGAAGAUGUAACUGUGUACAGGACAUAAAAUAUCAAUAGAAAAAUGACCUACGUAAUCCUGUAAAUUCAAUGCCAUGGGCUUCAGUCUGCAAAUACUUAUACUGUUCCAAACUUUACAAGUGCAAGAGGUCGGAUGACCUCCAUCCAGUCUCUGCCCACAUCUAAUGACAUUUAGUCGUCACAACAAUCUCUCUCUGACAGCACCUGCCCUACCAGUGCCUCUGGCUGGAGAGGAGCAUUGGUGGGAACUGUAGGGAAUGAGUCACAUGCAAUUACAGUGUAUAGACAUUAAAAAAUGCACCUUGUCUAUCUCCGCUGUAUACUUCCAGCCAUUACUUCCUCUGCUAAAUUUGACCACCUACCCCUCAGCGCAUAAAAGAAAAAAAAGUUUCAUACUGCUACAAAAAUGCAAAACUCACCAUAACGCAAAGUUAUUUGGCUUUUAAAUGACGUGUGAAUGGAGCACGUUUUCACUCCAUUUAUAUUAUUCUGUUAGUUAAUCUUACCCCACGGAUUGUAAAAUCCUCAUGAGUUUUGUGGUUGCAAGAGUCGGGGAUUUUUUUCAUCUGUGGUUUCUACAGCUGAGUAAUCUGGUGCCUCUUCAAUCACAACUAGAACUGGAAAUCCUUCUGAGACUGACAAGUUAACAAAUGGACACUAGCAAUAUUGUAUUGCUCAUCUGCCUGAUGUUGUAUUUUAAUUAGAUUGAGGAAGAUAAAAAGGCUCUUUCUUCAGGUAUAAGUUACUACAAGACCCUUGGGGGAUAAAACGAAACUGUUUAAGGGAAGGGACUGCUUAUGCUAUUAGUCACAGGAGGCUGACUUCUUUCAGUCCUGGCCUGUUGACAGAUAUUGCUAAUGUUGUAAAAGAAUCACCCCUUCACUCUGAAGUGUGCACUGUUUCAGAUGAUGGAGUUCCGCAACACUGACAAUUGCACAUCUUCUGUAUUGCGUUACAAAUGAAAAGUUGCUUUGAGAACAUCCCUGUUGCGUAUUAGCCCAUGAAGACAUUGGUCUUUGGUGUGAGAAAGGCUAUCUCAAGGUUACAGCCAGAUGUCCCAGAUCAUUCAAAUCUAAUCCACGAGUCUGAACCUUUGAAAAAGAUCUGCUCCCAGUGGGACUGUGAACUUUGCAUCUUUGACCUAUCUGUUAUUUAUUAUGAAAGAUCUUCAUGAACCAAGCCCAAACCUUCGUACAGUCAAGAACUGCAACAGCGACUUCGGUGGACUUUGGGCCAAAUCUCGUCACACGACUACAAAUAAUCCAAAUGCAGAGAGGACAUGAUGAUCCUAAGCCUCACAAGGUCAGAGCAACCUCUCAUCAGGACCUGUACCAGCCUCAAAGGAAUCCUCCACACCAGUAUUACCAAGAUGGUCAUUUAUUUAUAAGGAAAUCAUAUAGAGGUUGAAAUGUCCAAGAACAACCCUGGAGGUAUAUGUUAUAAGAAGUAUGCUUUACCCUUAUCACCCAUGGCAUUGGCCAGAUGGUACCAGCCUUGUGUAAAGGAGCCUGAUCAGCUCACGCCACCUCCGAGUCCCAGAGGAGAAUGGCGUGAAGAGAUUCAACUGGGAAGGUCCUGAGCAGACAGGAGCCUCUUCCGUAUGAGACAUUAUAGCUGAGAUAAUAUAGCAAUUACUUGUAAUACCAGCUCACCACAACCUUGAAAAAUCCAUACUUUUCCUCGUGAGAGGAUAGUCAGCUGCAGCCCAAGCAGGAGAUAACAGCAUGGAAAAAAAAAAUUAAAGAUAAACUAGCAGAAAACAACAGAGUGGCUGGGGAGCCAAUGGAGAACUGUAGGUCAAAACAGCACAGGAUGACCCAGAGGCUGCAUUUUGAUGAAGCUUGUUUCAUGGCAGUGCUUGUUGUUUGGGUAACUGAGAUGCAAGGCAAGGCAGCCCCAGGGAGCUCUGGCACAAGGCGACUGGAGCUGCCUCUUCAGGACUGCAGAGGUCCAUGUUUCGCAUGUAUUGACUGAUGCUGCUUAAAGCUGGCCUCUGUGGAAGUGCGCCUACAGUUGCCUGCAGAGCUUCUGAAAACUGCUUUUCUCAAUAGAGCUUGUUUCAUUUCCACAGGAAACAGAGAACCUUUCGGUUACUGCUCAGCAUUUGGUGCACAUCAUAGCAGGUGCUCCUGACAGCCUGGAGGGGAGAGAGGCAGUAAGGAGCUGCACUGGGCACAGAGCUGAGCGUACCUUAUUGUUUUGCCAAGUUUCAACAGACCAGCAAAUUUUAAAAGGUUAUACUUGCCUUUAAAUGCAUCAUGUAACUCAUUCUGUUGCAGUCUAUCCAUCUGGCACGAUGUGCUUACAGGGAAAAAGGAUCCCCGUUUCACUAAAAUCUGAGAAUUAGCAAGGAAAUCUGGUUUUCUAUCAGAAAAAAGAGGGGCCGGAGGUAUUGCAGGGUAUUGUGCAGUUUUGUAGAAGUUUGAAGUUGUGUAUUUCUCACCUGCUUGAAUGAUGCUUAUGGUAUAUUCUUGCAUAACUGAAAAUGCACAGAGAGAGAGAGAGAGAGAGACAGAGAGCCAUUUGGAAGCAGUUUUCCAAUAUGUGCAAGUCACUUGAGCUUGGCGGGCAGAACUCACCAUUACGAGCCAUUCAGGCACUUUGGAAAAUGUGUUCUGGUAAUUAAGCAUGGGCAGCCGUGAGCCUGGUCAAUAUUCUGUGCUGCAGCCUCCUCCAGGGUGGCCUCAAUCCCCCACCUCCUUCCAGCUGCACAUAGAAGAAUGGCAAGGUACAGAGGGCUGGUGCCUGUGCCCAAAGGCUGGUGAUGAAAGGAGCAUGGGAGGAGCCAAGUAUGAGCAGUAUUUCUCCUCUCCUCUGUGCAGCCAUUUGUGGCCCAGAUGAGCCUCAGGUUGGUCUGGCUCAUGGUGUAUUUGGCAGCUCGCAGUGGAUUUCUUCUUCCAGACUCUCCCAGUCAAUCAGUGUUUUCUGAGCAGCCAGCCACAACGUGGAAGCAGGGAAUCAAUGUGCACUUUGGUCCUGCUUGCCAUGGGUCCCUCUGCUAACAACCCCAAGCAAGGUACAGGGCUCUGAUCUGCUGAGUUCAGCACCUGUCAGGAGGGCCCUGUGCCAGAGAGAUUUCCAAAUAAUAUUUGUUCUACAUCUCUUAAAGACACAGGGUGCAGCCAAGGCUCCUGUCCUGUUAUGGCACCUUUUUCUGGGCAUGCAGUGUGUCUAGCAAAUAGAUGCUAAAGUCAAUGCUAAAAGAAAAACUCGACAUUGAAGUCCACAGAAGAAACCAGAAAGGCAAAUAAAUACGAAAAGUACAUUUCUGAGGUUUUAUUUCAUAUGCAUACAUGCAUUAAUGUUAGUAAUUAAUAGAAGUUGUGAUGUGAUUUAAUCCUUCGGCAACUUUACCUUCGUGUCCCCUUUCAAGAAAUAAAAUCAUCAGUGGAGGGAGGAUGGUAUAGAAGAACUAAGACUCAUAAUGUGAAGAAAGACAGUAUUAUUGGCAUUUUCCCUUUCAUAUUUUAAUUUGGCCAAAUUAGAUAAACAUUUUUACUUAAACAAUGAACCCAGAUUGGAUUCAGUUGAGUUACUCAGUGAAAGAAUGUAUUAUUUUCUUAAUUUCCCCCAGGAAAGAAAGGUUUCCUCAUUACUUGUAUGUGCCAUCAAACUCAAAUGGUAUGAAGAAAUACUGACUUAGCAAUGGAACUAUUGUGCA